UACAGAGGUCUCAAGCGUUGUUCGGAUUCAUUGGGCGUAAAGGGUGCGUAGGCGGCAAGGCAAGUCAGGUGUGAAAUCCCGGAGCUCAACUCCGGAACUGCACUUGAUACUGCCCUGCUAGAGUACUGGAGAGGAGACUGGAAUUUACGGUGUAGCAGUGAAAUGCGUAGAUAUCGUAAGGAAGACCAGUGGCGAAGGCGAGUCCCUGGACAGUUACUGACGCUGAGGCACGAAGGCCAGGGGAGCAAACGGG
rnacentral:rRNA from 1 species